rnacentral:lncRNA from 1 species
GCAACACACUGGUUUGGCAUCUAGCGGGUUGUGCUUGCAGAACAGCAGGCUGGCUCCGUGCACCUGCUCAGUGGGGCUGGGCUUUAGCAACCUGCAUUGAGGCUGCUCUUCUUAACUUUUCUCUAACUUGCUUCAUGAAAGUUAAUUCUGCUGGGACCCCACGAGGCAGCGGAGAGCCCACUCUGCCCAUGAUUGGUGCCCUGGGCUGGCACGCAGAGUUUAAUGGAGGAGCCCGGGAGAGAGGGAUGCCUGAGAACCAGGGAUGUGGGCUGGAGCAGUGCCACCUCCUCUAACUCACCCGCAAGCCCAGCCAACCGGCUAAACCUUCCCCACAGAGCCUCAGUCUCCUUAUCUGUAAAAUGGAUUACCUGGCACUUGUCCAGUCUUUCUGCAGUCAACAUCGCCCAGAUUCCAUGCAGAACCCUUUGCAGACUCCUGAGGAGGUACAGACAAGGAGUGUCCCUGUCCUCAUGGUGCUACAUGAAAAGGGAUCAGGACAGCAUAGUGUGUCCUCUGUCUUGAGAAGUUCGCAUCCAGCUCUGCCAUGGACCAGCCAUGCUCAUGGAUUGCCUCUCAUUUUGCUACGGACAGGAGACAGGAAAAUACUGGGUAGAAGAGGGCGGUUCCCGACAAAGGCCCCAACCUCAAGCCUGAAGACCCACGACCCUAAAUGAGGACAGCCAUUUCUGAUUUUGUGCCCAAAAAUUUGCCUUUUGGCCUGCCACACCCAACAUCUUGCCCCUAUAUAAACCCGAGACCUUAGCGGGCACACACACAAUCAGCCAAAUGUUGGGAUUAGCAGACCAGUGGACCAGCGGACCAGCAGACCAGUUAACGGUGGAACA